rnacentral:rRNA from 1 species
GACGAACGCUGGCGGCGUGCUUAACACAUGCAAGUCGAACGGAAAGGCCCUUCGGGGUACUCGAGUGGCGAACGGGUGAGUAACACGUGGGUGAUCUGCCCUGCACUUUGGGAUAAGCCUGGGAAACUGGGUCUAAUACCGAAUAGGACCACGCGCUUCAUGGUGUGUGGCGGAAAGCUUUUGCGGUGUGGGAUGGGCCCGCGGCCUAUCAGCUUGUUGGUGGGGUAAUGGCCUACCAAGGCGACGACGGGUAGCCGGCCUGAGAGGGUGACCGGCCACACUGGGACUGAGAUACGGCCCAGACUCCUACGGGAGGCAGCAGUGGGGAAUAUUGCACAAUGGGCGCAAGCCUGAUGCAGCGACGCCGCGUGAGGGAUGACGGCCUUCGGGUUGUAAACCUCUUUCACCAGGGACGAAGCGUAAGUGACGGUACCUGGAGAAGAAGCACCGGCCAACUACGUG